GGGUGAUUAGCUCAGUUGGGAGAGCACCUGCCUUACAAGCAGGGGGUCACUGGUUCGAGCCCGGUAUCGCCCACCA
rnacentral:tRNA from 2 species